rnacentral:rRNA from 1 species
UACGUAGGGGGCAAGCAUUGUCCGGAAUUAUUGGGCGUAAAGAGCGCGUAGGCGGUCCGAUAAGUCGGCUGUGAAAGUCCAGGGCUCAACCCUGGAAAGCCGGCCGAUACUGUCGGACUAGAGUCCGGAAGAGGCAAGUGGAAUUCCCGGUGUAGCGGUGAAAUGCGCAGAUAUCGGGAGGAACACCAGUGGCGAAGGCGGCUACCUGGACUGACACUGACGCUGAGGCGCGAGAGCGUGGGGAGCAAACAGG